rnacentral:rRNA from 1 species
UGGUAAGGCCAUAUCACCCUGAACGUGCCCAAUCUCAUCUGAUCUCGAAAGCUAAGCAGGGUCAGGCCUGGUUAGUAUUUGGAUGGGAGACAGAUCUUCAAAAGACACUGCUCAG